rnacentral:lncRNA from 1 species
GUAAAUAAAAGUCAAACAUAAAGCAGGAGCAGUAGUGUGGCCACCUCCGAAUCCCUUGCAGCACCGAUCCAUCUAAGGUUGGGGAUUUCCUGUACAGAUAAACAGAGGGGUGAGUUUACGAAAACUCAGUGUGUAAUCCCCUAACAAACAAGCAGUCAAUCAUUCAAUAGAUAGAUGCAGUUUGGGCCUGAGCUCGUUACAAUAUCAGUAUCAAUGUGGGCCUUAGCCCAUUACAGUAACAGUAUCAGUGCAGUAAUGCAAUCAGAAAUCCUACCCAAUCCAACCUCUACACACCACUCCGUCCCACCAAACACAUCAUGCAGGGAUAAAAUCGACCCACCCAGCCAAACACACCAAGAUUAGCACCAGUUGCAGCACUAAAUAGUAUUGCAGCAAAGCUACUAGUGAUAUGAACAUCUUAAAGCCAUCAGUAUGUCCACAGUCGUCUUGGGCGACCCGUGCAACCUUAAGUCCACAGUCAUGUUGGGCGACUUGUGUGACCAUAUCAGUGCAGUAUACUUCCUCCAAAAUAACAAUUCCAACCCCAUGCAACAUGUCAUGCAUCGUAUCAUAAUAUCUUACAUGGAUGCAACAUACAUAUAACGUGGCAUACUCAAAUACAGUCAUACACAUCGUAGGGCAAAUCAGUCAUUUUACCUUAUAGGGGUAUUACAGUCAUUUUACCCUACAGGGGUAUUACAGUUAUUUUACCUUAUAGGGGUAUUUCAGUCAUUUUACCCUAUGGGGGUAUUUCGGUCAUUUUACCCUAUAGGUUUAUUUUGGUCAUUUUAUCCUAUGGGGGUAUUUCGGUCUCCAUUUCGGCCCAACAUGACCCAAAAUGGCCUAAGCCCAUGAGAUCGCCCAUGGUGGCCUCUCGUAAUCCAGUACCUACGUUUAUGCGUUUGGGGUUACCACACGAGUGAUCGCACGCUCAUGUGGCAUCAACGGUCCUAUUUUUUGACUUUUGCUAAUUUACGGUUAAGACAGUGAUUACACGCUUGAUUGCCAAAAGGCGCAGAAGCCAACAAACACCAACCUAUAUUGAAUCAAUCACUCUGUCAGUCCUUUAAUUAAUAGGGUUAAUCACCCUCUUUUAACACUUAAUCCUAAAAUAAUAUUGAUACUUGCCUUACUUGAACGAGAGUGAUUUCCCCUCUAAACUAUCGACCAAGAUUAACUUACGAUCAUUGGCAAAAAUCUGUACUACAACCCACUCUCGUUAACCAUUACCAAAAGCGUAAAAUAACCUGAAUCAAGCGAUUAACCACUUACCGAAACAAAGCGCUGAGAAUGAUGGAUAACAGUAAUCGGCCUACAAAGGCACCCCCUAAACCCGAACCAAGAAGUGGUACAACCAUUCCUAGUAGUGCCGGUAGAGAAAAGAAAAUGUUAACAGGGAGAUUAUAUCGACUGAAGAAAGGAAGGAGAAGAAAACAACUAUGAACCCAAAUAGACAUGGUGGCUUACCUCAAUUAAAUGCAGAAAGAGGUUCGGCUACAAGAGAUUCAGGCAAGGACAACUCGACGAAAGCCAAAAAAAUAGAGAGGAGAAGAAACAAAAGUAUUCGGCCAAUGCACCAAAAAGAAAUAACAAGGGCUCAAAAUAGAUAGAGAAGGCUAGCGAAGAUUCGGCAAUAAGAGAUAGUAGUAUUUGGCCUAAAAGAGCAACAUGAAAAGGGGAGAAAUUUUGAGUAAAUGGAGAGAGAGCAGAAAAGAGAAGAAAGGAAAAUUGAUAGACAGGGGAUUAGAGGAAAAAGUAAAACUGAAGGCAAAAAAAAAAAUCGAAAACCCAAAGUCCCUAGCAGUAUUUGGUACAGUAGCAAAAAGGCAAUAAAGAAUGUUGACAAAACCGACGUGGAGAGGAAAAAAAUGAAAAUGAGGAGCUAACACACCCCUACCGAAAUUUGAGUCCAAGAUAGUUCCAAUUUCAGUUCAAACUCUAAACAAGCCUUAAGACUCUCUACAAUAUCCUCCCAAUAUUUGGCUAACACUCCGACCCCAUUGAUCUACUCCUCAAAAUCCUCCUCAAAUCACUCCAACUUCUCACUUAUCAGACUUUUAAUGCAACACCAAUACUAGCCGUCCAAAGUAUCAAAAAUUGACCCCCUUAUUGCGCAAACGAGGACUCGAACUUCAGACCUCAGACAUUAGUAACAUGCCACUUACCCCCUUUACCAGCAUGCUCAUUGUGUCAUGUUUUACCCACAAUAAUUUAAAAACUUACUAUCCAAAAAAAAGUCCCCGUACGUUAUGAUUAGGAACUGCCAAUCAACCAUUUGAUAGAACCGAAUGUUAGAAACUUAGAAAGUUAAUAGAAAACAAUACUUCAAAUGUUUGAGGCAAAAACAAACUCCACUUUUACCAAAAGCUUACCAUCUUGAAGCAAUUCGCGUUGGGCAGAACCAACAGCUUGAGAAAAGAAAAUUGGUAGGUGAGGACAGAUUGAUCUGAAACAGUAAACACGGGUAACAAUAAGGAAUAUGAGAAGAGAGGAGAUGGUGCUCAAAAGGUGAAAAUUGAAGGGAGAAAGAAGUAUGAGGUAUUCGGCCUGGAAAGAAAUUGAGAGAUAAAUGGAAGAAGAAACGAAAGAAGGGAAGGGGAAACUAUCUAGUCAAAAAACCUCAACCAAAUGGGGGAAGGAGAAGAUGGGGUAGACGGUCAAAAAAAGUCACCACACGAACAAGAAAAUUGAGAGAGCAUUUGUCCAAACCGAAAAAGCUAAGAUGAAAAGGGAGUGAGAGUUCGGCCAACAACAAGAUGCAAAAGAGAAGGCUUGAUGGUCUCAAGAAGAAUGAGAGGUGAAGAAGGAAAACAUUCGGCUAGUGAGAGGAGUGCAAAACUGACAACAACAAAAGAAAAAAUAAAGGUAUUACCUACCUCUCUUCACACUAUUCGGCCUUCGGAGAACAAAAAGAAAAGAACCCCAAAAUGCCUACAAAACCGAAAUGGAGUCCUCCAAAUCACAAAAGCCGAAUUGAGAUUUUCUCCUAAAAUCCCUCUUUAUAUCUCUCCUCAACUCCUUCCAUGACCAAUUCAAACUCCACUCCACUCCACUCAACAGUGUUUCAGUGAUCCUCUACUACCCACACGGCCAGUGCAGCAAAAUAAAACACUCCAUUGCUCAAAGUAG